rnacentral:rRNA from 1 species
GAUGAGCGCUGACAGAAUGCUUAACACAUGCAAGUCAACUUGAACUUCGGUUUGGGUGGCGGACGGGUGAGUAACGCGUAAAGAACUUGCCUCACAGAUAGGGACAACAUUUGGAAACGAAUGCUAAUACCUGAUAUUAUGAUUUUAGGGCAUCCUAGGAUUAUGAAAGCUAUAUGCGCUGUGAGAGAGCUUUGCGUCCCAUUAGCUAGUUGGAGAGGUAACGGCUCACCAAGGCGAUGAUGGGUAGCCGGCCUGAGAGGGUGAUCGGCCACAAGGGGACUGAGACACGGCCCUUACUCCUACGGGAGGCAACAGUGGGGAAUAUUGGACAAUGGACCAAGAGUCUGAUCCAGCAAUUCUGUGUGCACGAUGAAGUUUUUCGGAAUGUAAAGUGCUUUCAGUUGGGAAGAAAAAAAUGACGGUACCAACAGAAGAAGUGACGGCUAAAUACGUG